rnacentral:rRNA from 1 species
ACUCCUACGGGAGGCAGCAGUGGGGAAUAUUGCACAAUGGGGGAAACCCUGAUGCAGCCAUGCCGCGUGUGUGAAGAAGGCCUUCGGGUUGUAAAGCACUUUCAGUAGGGAGGAAGGUAGUGUAGUUAACACCUGCAUUAUUUGACGUUACCUACAGAAGAAGCACCGGCUAACUCCGUGCCAGCAGCCGCGGUAAUACGGAGGGUGCGAGCGUUAAUCGGAAUUACUGGGCGUAAAGCGCAUGCAGGCGGCCUGUUAAGUCAGAUGUGAAAGCCCGGGGCUUAACCUCGGAAUUGCAUUUGAAACUGGCAGGCUAGAGUCUUGUAGAGGGGUUAGAAUUUCAGGUGUAGCGGUGAAAUGCGUAGAGAUCUGAAGGAAUACCAGUGGCGAAGGCGGCCCCUGGACAAAGACUGACGCUCAGAUGCGAAAGCGUGGGAGCAAACAGGAUUAGAUACCCCGUGGUAGACUGUCA